GGCGCUGUCUGUCCUCCUGCAGUUCCGGGACCCGGAGCACGGCGAGUGGUUUGGCUACCUGGCGCAGGAUGGGAAGGUGGCGCUCACCAUCAAGGGGGGCCCCUUCAAGGGCUGCUUCCAUGUGCCACGUGCCCUCUACAUGUGCGAAGAGAUCCUGGAGAAGCUGCUGCAGGAGCCCUAGAGCCACCCUUGGGUGCUGAUAAAUAAAGUGCCUCCCUCGGGCCGGGCAGGACGCCUUUCUGGCAACGAGGCUCUUCCUG